UGGGGAAUCUUGCGCAAUGGGGGCAACCCUGACGCAGCAACGCCGCGUGAGCGAUGAAGGUCUUCGGAUCGUAAAGCUCUGUCGGCAGGAACGAUGGGUGGCUUGGCUAAUAUCCAAGUCGCUUGACGGUACCUGCAAAGGAAGCACCGGCUAACUCUGUGCCAGCAGCCGCGGUAAGACAGAGGGUGCAAGCGUUGUUCGGAAUCAUUGGGCGUAAAGGGCGCGUAGGUGGCUGUAUAAGUCAGAUGUGAAAUCCUAGAGCUCAACUCUAGAAGUGCAUCUGAUACUGUAUAGCUUGAGUCUCAGAGAGGAUGGAGGAAUUCCCAGUGUAGAGGUGAAAUUCGUAGAUAUUGGGAGGAACAUCGGUGGCGAAGGCGUCCAUCUGGAUGAAGACUGACACUGAGGCGCGAAAGCGUGGGGAGCAAACAGGAUUAGAUACCCCAGUAGUCCCUGAGCGGGCUGGCAAGGCGC
rnacentral:rRNA from 1 species